rnacentral:rRNA from 1 species
CUACGGAGGGUGCAAGCGUUACUCGGAAUCACUGGGCGUAAAGCGCGCGCAGGCGGCUAUUUAAGUUGGAUGUGAAAGCCUACGGCUCAACCGUAGAACUGCAUCCAAAACUAUUUAGCUAGAGUGUGGGAGAGGAAGAUGGAAUUAGUUGUGUAGGGGUAAAAUCCGUAGAGAUAACUAGGAAUACCAAAAGCGAAGGCAAUCUUCUGGAACACUACUGACGCUGAGGCGCGAAAGCGUGGGGAGCAAACAGGAUUAGAAACCCGAGUAGUCC